rnacentral:rRNA from 1 species
GAUGAACGCUGGCGGCGUGCCUAAUACAUGCAAGUCGAGCGAACAGAUGAGGAGCUUGCUCCUCUGACGUUAGCGGCGGACGGGUGAGUAACACGUGGAUAACCUACCUAUAAGACUGGGAUAACUUCGGGAAACCGGUGCUAAUACCGGAUAAUAUAUUUAACCGCAUGGUUCAAUAGUGAAAGACGGUUUUGCUGUCACUUAUAGAUGGAUCCGCGCCGCAUUAGCUAGUUGGUAAGGUAACGGCUUACCAAGGCAACGAUGCGUAGCCGACCUGAGAGGAUGAUCGGCCACACUGGAACUGAGACACGGUCCAGACUCCUACGGGAGGCAGCAGUAGGGAAUCUUCCGCAAUGGGCGAAAGCCUGACGGAGCAACGCCGCGUGAGUGAUGAAGGUCUUCGGAUCGUAAAGCUCUGUUAUUAGGGAAGAACAAAUGUGUAAGUAACUAUGCACGUCUUGACGGUACCUAAUCAGAAAGCCACGGCUAACUACGUG